rnacentral:rRNA from 1 species
UAAAGGAGCGAUCCGGUGACGGAUGGGCAUGCGUGACAUUAGCUAGUCGGCGGGGUAACGGCCCACCGAGGCGACGAUGUCUAGGGGUUCUGAGAGGAAGGUCCCCCACACUGGUACUGAGACACGGACCAGACUCCUACGGGAGGCAGCAGUGAGGAAUAUUGGUCAAUGGGCUUACGCCUGAACCAGCCAAGUCGCGUGAGGGAAGACUGCCCUAUGGGUUGUAAACCUCUUUUGUCAGGGAGCAACGCCGGCUACGUGUAGCCGGACUGAGAGUACCUGAAGAAAAAGCAUCGGCUAACUCCGUGCCAGCAGCCGCGGUAAUACGGAGGAUGCGAGCGUUAUCCGGAUUUAUUGGGUUUAAAGGGUGCGUAGGCGGAAUGCCAAGUCAGCGGUAAAAUCGCGGGGCUCAACCUCGCUCCGCCGUUGAAACUGGCGUUCUUGAGUGGGCGAGAAGUAUGCGGAAUGCGUGGUGUAGCGGUGAAAUGCAUAGAUAUCACGCAGAACUCCGAUUGCGAAGGCAGCAUACCGGCGCCCAACUGACGCUGAAGCACGAAAGCGUGGGUAUCGAACAGGAUUAGAUACCCUGGUAGUCCACGCAGUAAACGAUGAAUACUAGCUGUUCGGGGCAAAUGACCCUUGAGUGGC